rnacentral:lncRNA from 10 species
UGUGAGGAGCGCCUGGGCCGGGCAGCGACCCCGUCUGGGAGAAAAAAAAUAGAGAUGGAGUCUCACUACAUGACCCAGGCUGAUCUUGAACUCCUGGGCUCAAGUGAUCCUCCAUCCUCAGCCUCCCAAAGUGCUGGGAUUACAGGUGUGAGACACCCUCCCCAGCCUUUUUCUUUUUUUUUCAUUAUAGAUUCAGGGGGUCCAUGUGCAGGUUUGUUUUACAGAUAUAUUGCAUAAUGCUGGGGUUUUGGCUUCUGGUGAACCCAGCACCCAAAUAGUGAACAUGGUACCCAAUAUGUAGUUUUUCAACCCUUGCCCCUCCCGCUCUGUUCCCACUCUUGGAGUCCACAGUGUCUGUCAUUUCCAUCUUUAUGGCCAUGUAUACCUAUUGUUUAGCUCCCACUUACUAUAUAAGUGAGAACAUGUGGUAUUUGAGUUUGUUUCUGCAUUAACUCAGGAUAAUGAACUCCAGCUGCAUCCACUUGCUGCAAAGGACGUGAUUUCAUUCUUUAUGGAAGAGCCCCACCCCUACACCCCAUGGUCCGCUGCGUCCGACUGGUGGAAGCAGGAUCUGUGGUGAGAUACCUCAGCACAAGCAUAUGCAGGCCUGUGGUAGACGCCGGAAGUAGGGCCCUUUGUCUCCAAGAAUGGGCAGACUCUCAACAGGUGAAAGAAAAACAGUACUCCAGGUAGGGGCCAAGCAGAAGCAACAGGUCAAAGAAAGGCCUGGAAGUGGAAAAGCCCUGGGUUCAGUUUGCUAAGAGCCCAGGAGACUAGCUGGAUACAAGGCCGGAAGAAGGGUGGGGCUCUGAUGCACCAGCUUCUCCAAUCUUCCUGGCUCCAGGGAGGAGAUGCAUUUGAACAAUCCUGAAAAACUUUUGGAUCCCAAGUCUGACUCAACAUUGUGACUUGCUUACUCCGUGUCACUCUUCUAGAUGCUUUUGAAAUAUAUUAUCAUAACAAUGAGUAAGUUCUAUUUCCAUUCUCAGAAAAGAAAACUGAUUCAAGAUUGUGUAACUUGCUGCUUCUGGUUGGUGAGAUUUAAAAAAAAAAAAAAGAUUAUGUAACUUGUUCAAAGUCAUAUGGAUUACAAACUAUAGCGCAGGGACUUAAUUUCAGUCUGGCUCCAAAAUCUGAACUAUUAACAAUAUUUAAAAGUCUGCUGGGUGGGUGCGGUGGCUCAUGCCUGUAAUCCCAAUCCUUUGGAAGGCUGAGGUGGGUGAAUCACUUGAGGUCA